GGACUACCCGGGUAUCUAAUCCCGUUCGCUCCCCUGGCUUUCGCCCCUCAGCGUCAGGCGCCUCCCAGGACCCUGCCUGCGCCCUUGGUGUUCCUCCGGAUCUCUACGCAUUUCACCACUCCACCCGGAAUUCCAGGUCCCUCUGAGGCCCUCGAGUCCGCCCGUUUUUCCGACACUCCGCGCGUUGAGCACGCAGCUGGCAUCGGAAACGCGGCGAACCGCCUGCGGGCGCUUUACGCCCAGUAACUCCGGACAACGCUCGCCCCCUACGUAUUACCGCGGCUGCUGGCAC
rnacentral:rRNA from 1 species